CGUAACAAAGGGAAGCGAACCCGUGAGGGGGAGGCAAAUCCCAAAAAUAAACGUCCCAGUUCGGACUGUAGUCUGCAACCCGACUACACGAAGCUGGAAUCGCUAGUAAUCGCGAAUCAGAAUGUCGCGGUGAAUACGUUCCCGGGUCUUGUACACACCGCCCGUCACACCAUGGGAGUCGGGAAUGCCCGAAGUCAGUGACCCAACCUUUGGAGGGAGCUGCCGAAGGCAGGCCUGAUAGCUGGGGUGAAGUCGUAACAAGGUAGC
rnacentral:rRNA from 1 species